ensembl:lncRNA
GUUCAGGGGCCCUGAGGACUGGGAGAUCCAGACCAGCAGGGACCUUCCGCUCCCCACUGUGUCUCUCAACUCAGGAAAGGAAGUUUCUGUGGUCUCAGCCAGGAAUAUGGUGACAAGACCUAGAGUAGACAGCUACAAGACCAAAGGAUAUCACAUUCCCCCUGGGAUCUGGUCAGCACCAAGAAGUUUGCAACAACCAGCCACAUCCCCUACCCUUUCAGUAUAAAAGAAGCCUGAAUUCUAACUCAGGAGUGCUCUUGGGAGAAGAUGAGUGAGGGGAACCAGACAGGACAAGAGGAAUAAAGUUGAACAAGAAUUCGGGAGUGUUAUCUGGAGACUGUCCUCAGCCUAGUUCUCAGGGGAGCAUCGGAGCAUGACGGUACCACAGAACUGGCUCUCGUUUCAGCUCUUCAACCCUGUGUGUCUUCAGAUACCAUCCAGUGCUCCUGCCAAGGCCGCCAGUGACCUUCACAUUGAGAAAUCUGAUGGAUGUCUUUUCCUCUCAGCUGUGACCCUCUCAGCAGAUGUCACCUCUAGCCUUGAAAAUCUCUCCUGUGGCCUCAGUGACAGCUGCUCUCCGGGGUUCCCUUCUGCUUCCUAAACCUGUUCCUUUCGGACAUCCUCAUGGUUCUCCCUCUCAGAGCGUUUGUGUUCCCGAGUCCUGAGCUGGUCUCCUCUGUCUCUCUGCGUACCUCUCCUGGGACAGUUCCUGCACUUGUGUGGCUUUGGUUACCAUCUGCACUCAGAUUACUUCUAAACAGCUUUCCUGGGAAUUCCUACGUGGUCCAGUGGUUAAGACUCUGCGGCUCACUGCCAAGGCAAAGUUCAAUCGCUGGUCCCCACAGGCCAUGCGCUGUGGCUAAAUAAAUAAAUUAAAUGAACAGCUUUCCUUAGCUCAGCCACAGCUUCUGACUUGGAGAUCUGUGCAUCCCUUUGUGUACUCUUUGAGGCGCCUAAAUUCGCUAAAUCUGAACUAGAGUUCUCAGCUGUCUGACAAAACAUUCCUUCUCCAGCAUCUUCUGUCUCAGGGAGAGGUGCCAUCAUCCAUUCAAUCCCCAAGCUCAAAACCUUCUCUCUCACAUCCCCCACCUAACAUCCUCUGCAAUCUACCAGGUCCUACUGACUCUGUCUCUUGACUAUCUUGACUUAUUCAUUUCUCUUUGUUUCCUGGCUCCACCCUCAUCCAAGUUGCCAUUAUCUCUGGCUUGCAAUAGCCUCUGCACUGGUCUCCCCAGUCUCUACUUGUU